rnacentral:rRNA from 1 species
UACCCUGGUAAUCCACGCCGUAAACGAUGUCUACUUGGAGGUUGUGGCCUUGAGCCGUGGCUUUCGGAGCUAACGCGUUAAGUAGACCGCCUGGGGAGUACGGUCGCAAGAUUAAAACUCAAAUGAAUUGACGGGGGCCCGCACAAGCGGUGGAGCAUGUGGUUUAAUUCGAUGCAACGCGAAGAACCUUACCUACUCUUGACAUCCAGAGAACUUUCCAGAGAUGGAUUGGUGCCUUCGGGAACUCUGAGACAGGUGCUGCAUGGCUGUCGUCAGCUCGUGUUGUGAAAUGUUGGGUUAAGUCCCGCAACGAGCGCAACCCUUGUCCUUGUUUGCCUGCGAGUAAUGUCGGGAACUCCAGGGAGACUGCCGGUGAUAAACCGGAGGAAGGUGGGGACGACGUCAAGUCAUCAUGGCCCUUACGAGUAGGGCUACACACGUGCUACAAUGGCGCAUACAGAGGGCAGCCAACUUGCGAAAGUGAGCGAAUCCCAAAAAGUGCGUCGUAGUCCGGAUUGGAGUCUGCAGCUCGACUCCAUGAAGUCGGAAUCGCUAGUAAUCGUGGAUCAGAAUGCCACGGUGAAUACGUUCCCGGGCCUUGUACACACCGCCCGUCACACCAUGGGAGUGGGCUGCAAAAGAAGUAGGUAGUU